AGUGGCAAACGGGUGAGUAACACGUGGGUGACCUGCCUUCGAGUGGGGGAUAACGUCCCGAAAGGGACGCUAAUACCGCAUGACAUCCUGCUCUUGGACGAGCGGAGAUCAAAGCUGGGGAUCGCAAGACCUGGCGCUUGAAGAGGGGCCCGCGCCUGAUUAGCUAGUUGGUGGGGUAACGGCUCACCAAGGCAACGAUCAGUAUCCGGCCUGAGAGGGCGGACGGACACACUGGGACUGAGACACGGCCCAGACUCCUACGGGAGGCAGCAGUGGGGAAUUGUUCGCAAUGGGCGCAAGCCUGACGACGCAACGCCGCGUGGAGGACGAAGAUCUUCGGGUCGUAAACUCCUGUCGAGCGGGGCGAACGCUUCGCGGAUUAAUAAUCCGCGGAAUUGACGGUACCGCUAAAGGAAGCCCCGGCUAACUCCGUGCCAGCAGCCGCGGUAAUACGGGGGGGGCAAGCGUUGUUCGGAAUUACUGGGCGUAAAGGGCUCGUAGGCGGCCAACUAAGUCGGACGUGAAAUCCCCAGGCUCAACCUGGGAACUGCGUCCGAUACUGAUUGGCUUGAAUCCGGGAGAGGGAUGCAGAAUUCCAGGUGUAGCGGUGAAAUGCGUAGAUAUCUGGAGGAAUACCGGUGGCGAACGCGGCAUCCUGGACCGGCAUUGACGCUGAUGAGCGAAAGCUAGG
rnacentral:rRNA from 1 species